GCUGGGUGUGGUGACGCUCACCUGUAAUCCCAGCUGCUCAGGAGGCUGAGGCAGGAGAAUCACUUGGAGCAGGGAGGUGGAGGUUGCAGUGAGCUGAGAUGGCACCAGUGCACUCCAGCCUGGGGACAGAGUGAGUCUCAAAAAAAAAAAAAAUGUUUCAGAGACAAAAUCUUGCUGUCACCCAGGCUGGAGUGUAGUGGUGCCAUCACAGCUCACUGUAGCCUUGAACUCCUGGGCUCAAGGGAUCCACCUGC
rnacentral:lncRNA from 10 species